CAACUCAUGAUUCCUUUGCUGUUUCUUUUUCUCUCCUCUAUCCAGUUGCAGAGUGGAGGAAGAGAGCAGCUUUAGUGGGUACCUGACAUCCAGCCAGGGUCAACCCACUACAGCAACCAUGAGGGCAAGCAGACAUUAACACCAGACCCUCUUUGGCACCUGUCCAGACUGACCAGGGUGCUCAUCAGCUGCAUCGCCGAUAUUGACAAUGACAAAUCCCUUCCACAGCUCAGGAGAACCUUAAAUAAAUUCUCCCAAGACACUAGCAGGCGUUCUUCUCCUUGCCCUGUCACUCAUGGUGAAGACUGAAAGGCUGAUUAGAAAUAAUGCAGGGGU
rnacentral:lncRNA from 1 species